rnacentral:lncRNA from 1 species
CCCCUCCGCCCACAGAUCGUCCCUCUCAGCCGCCAAAUGUGACGUCAACAUGAAUGGCAGGGUGAGCGCUGCCGACACUCCGUAAGACCAGCCAAUGUUUGUUGGCAAUCGUAGAAUUGGAGUUGUGUUAGAAUAUUUCUUGUGACGACGCCCGAUAGCGCCGCAACUGCAGUGGAGUCAUUAAUGUACUUCUCGCUCAUCAGUGCCGUACGUUUGAUCGUGACGUUGGCAGAAGCAGAAGACUUAGUGAGUCAUCGGGAGACGUCGAAGUGGACUGUACCCUAAAGAUCACGAGAAAUUUCGCGUAAAUCAUAACUCUGCCCAAAUUGCAACGAAAUAAAGGAAAAUAGUCUUUGAAAAACUAUACCGGCUGUCAUCAACUAAUAGUACAAUAAAACUAUCAAGCGUUCGGAAUAAUAGAAUUAUGGUAUUAUGGAAGAUUAAGAAAUUAUGGGCAAAAUUCUGCUCAGAGUACGCAAAAAUUGGUUAAAGGUUCAAGCAGAUAUUGCCGUUUUAGAAAAACAUGUCGAGUCUUUCUUUUUUUUAUCCUGAGAUGCACUCUAUUAUUUAGAUAUGCCUUUGGAGAAGGAAACGCGUGAAAUGUCACACAGAAGGUUACUCGCAUAACCGCAAAGGUUUGAUAAGUCGUACAUACGAGCACCUUUUCUUCUUAGCAUUUGAAAUCAUAUCAGACGACUCGCAGUAAUCAUGAUGAGUUUUCAGAUGUAAGCCUAUCGAAGAGGGUCGGUAACUGCCACUUGCUUCAUCACAUUGUGACAUUAUUGCUAUCUACGGGCAGAUCUAUGUGGUAGAAAAGAAAUUUGUGUUCUGUUUCGCUGCACUCGUGACGUCAAACUAACGAUGACUCAUACACUUGACGACGCCGGAAGUGAUUGAAGAAAAGUUGGAAAAUGACAGACGAGAUUCGUCGAGUUCAGAGAGAACACUUUCCGAAACCUAGAUGUUUAAGACGCUUAAUUGCUACCUGGGACCCGCUAUUAUUUUUGGAACCACUUGGGUGAUACCAAAAUGCCUGGAGAGGUCAUCGCGUUCGUGUGCAUCUUGUGAAUUUGCUGCUGCUGCUGCUGCUGCACGAGUGUAUGCAGCUUUUGAGGUAAUCGAAGUCAACUUGUUAUCAAGAACGUCUAUUCAUAGAUGUUCGUAUUUGAUUGCAAAUGAAGCUUUCAAUGAUUCACCUGUGUCAGCAAUUGGUUGCAAAUACUUCAUCAGGCAGGAUGUGCUGACAUAUACAAAUAUACUAUGUAUAUUAGUAGGGUUGAAAUUUAUAUGAGCAAUAUCAAGGGACAAAUUUGUACGUGAUAUCAAAUGCCGACUCGAAUGGGAGUAGGAAAUUUUGAGUCUUCGGUCCGUUGGCAGCAAGCAGAAGGUCUGCCGCUCUCAUGCCGGUCAUAAACUUCAUGCCCAGGCGGGUAUGCCGAUUUGUCAGAAAUAGGCGUUUUUCCUCAACGGAAAAAGUGUUUUCCUCCGGGCGCAGCCAACGGAGCACUGAUGUUUUGUAAUGAAAUUACGGCUUUAGAAUUGUUUUACAGAAGUUAUUCAACUCACUAUUUAGUUAUAUUUCUUCUUACAGACCGUAAUCAAGCAAAUACCACGGUAAAAAUGUCACAUCGAUUUUCCUUAAGUUAUCUUGAUUUUCAUAUCUUUUUUAGACAAAAUAGGCCCUUUAUUUGGCUUCUCAUUUUUCGGAUUGUACCUCUACGCAGGAUAGUGCACUCCUGCAGAGCCAUAUUACGGGCGUUUAUUCCAAUGGUUAACAAGUGUCAACUGGAUGAAGCACCGCGACAGUUUUCUAUGAAGGAACAGAGCCAUCUGAUUGCCCUACGACUCCUGAACGAUCUCAGAAAGUAGGCAUUUCCUCUGUUAUAGAAAAAAUUGUUAUUUUUUUUAAGUUUCUCAUUGUAGACUUGGUUCCGCUUAAGUUACGAUGGAAUGAAGAUAUACAUUGAUACAGUGGCUAUAGCCAUAAGAAUAUAAUUCAAUAAUUUAAUACCGGCACAAGGACCAAUAAUUCAACUGACUGAUUUUCAGAUUACCAUUAUAUUUACCGUUAUUACGAUAUAACCUUCUAUGAUGGCGGACAGGUGUUCUCCGUGCCGGUAGUUGAUGAGAGGGAAUAAUAUAAUUUCUCCUUCCAAUCUCUAACCGUACUUUAUGGCUGUUAAUAAUAUGAUAAUAUGGACUAAGAUACUGGUCCAAUAUAUUAGCAUUAUAUUAUCAUAUGUAUAUCAAUAUCAACAUAAUAGUGUCCUACUAAAACAAACGUGCACUGUCCUAAAAGUGGCCUAAAGACUAGUUGUAAUCGUAUAACAAGCAAGCCAUGCUCUUCAGUAGGUUCUACAGCGGUUAGCGCAAAUGCUUUUUUAUUUGUUUAUUUAAAUUUUUUUUAUCUAGUAUUCGGGAUUGGUGAUAUCGAGAUUACCGUAAAGUUCGUCCCAGCUAGAAAAAUUAGUGUUACUUUCAACAUAUGCAUAUUCUACUAAUUCGGAAGUUGUUAAACUCUUUGGAAGUCAAACGAAGGAAAGCUUUAAUGGUUCAUUUUUGCGUUAAGAAGAAGGUAAUCUUUCAUAUAUUUUACCAAAGGUAGGCGUUCCAAGGUUUCCUGCAUCGACAAACGUGAGCCAUCCAUGUUUGCCGAUGCAGGCAUCUUUGCAUAUUUUGUUGUACAAGACGUGCGCAGCGUAGAUCUUCAUAAGGCGCUCAAGGUCUCUAAAGUGUUUCCUAAUGAUGUGCUGCAAUUAGUGGUCGCUAGGCUAGGACUUGCCAUUCAGCUUCUACAUUUCAAAGGUUCUAUUCAUCGUGAUGUUGAAGUAUGCACACCGUUUUACAUGAAAACCCUUUAUAUAUUUCUCUCGAGUAUGGAAUACUGUUAAUGCAUAAUUUUCGCGUUCAGUCAGCUAGCUAAUGUCUGGCUGUCCUGAAAUUUUGUCUAUUUGCUAGACUUCAAACGCAGUAAUUAUGCCUGAUUGCCGCGUUAAACUAAUCGAUUUUGACACUGCUAAGGCUAUGCGAAGGCCGAUACGUAAGCCUGACUGCCUAUUGACAAAUGAGACGGUUAAAAAAACCGUAUGGGAGAGCCAUCGAUCGGUAUGUAUCCCUUCGAGUCGUGCGCGUGUUAUCGUCAAACGCGGAAAUGCGAAGUAACGAACUGCUUAAUUUAGGAACUUUAGGAAAAGCUUAAUUUAGGAAAAGGAUAAGAAGCUUUGAAAUAACGGCGAUCUUUCCGCACACCUAGUCUUGUACAUCUGGUUAUUAAAAUGGAGCUUAUUAGAACUUCCACAGGCCGAUGUGCGAAAAUGCGUAGCUAGUUUCCUGCUAACAAUUGAUCCAACCUAGAUGGGCUGUCGGAGUGACCGUGUUCCAGCUGGCAAACGGAUGGACACCCUUUCGUAAGACAAAAGUGGUUAGUCAGCUCCAAGACAAUAUUUGUCAGGGUCGGUUGAAACAGAACCCUGUAGCUCAUCUGCAACCGGAGGACAAGGCCCAUAUGUCAAGCCUUCUUCACCGCAACCCACGGGGUUACCUUCGAAAGAUUAUUUAGGUCAAUACUAGCCAACGACUUCGCCUGAGGCAGAAAAAAAAGAAGCAAAAAUGGUUUAGCGUUGAAGUUUUCAAGGUCAGUAAGGUGCGACGUCUAUGAUGUCGCAAUAAUGAAAAUUCGAUUAGCGCUGCCAAGUCCAGUGUUAACUUUAACAUUUCUGACGAUGUCUAGGAAACGUUUACUGUACACAUUACGGACUUCCUUAAACUUGUCCUACAGGAUUGGCACCGCGACUAGGUUUUUUAAAAUACGAUCUGCUUUUACUAAAAACAGUAUACGUAUUAAUCACAUGGGCAAGCCCGUGUGGGUCCGCUAGGUAAAACUUAAAUUAAAAAAAAAGUGCGCUUGCGUAAUCCUAUAGGAGGUGAAAAAGCAUAACAAGCUGUAUACUUUGACAGCAAGACGCUUCUCAGAGUGCAUUCAAAAGCAUAGAGCUGAUAUAGUUGUCGAAGCGGAAGACGUCUUCGAGGAGCCCGAACUUCCUACAGGCCUUUCUCUUUAGCCUUCCUUUUUUUGCGAAAUCCGAAAUACUCGUCAAACCAGUCAGUAUCGCAUCACAGACGCAGCAAAAGAGCUCAAACAGCCGAUUCUCAACAAGGUGUUCAGUCUCAACAGCAAGGUACUCUUUGUGUGAAUUUCGCUCUAACUUUAAAUUAGUUAAAUAAUAGCAAAUUUAGCUUGUCAAAAGCCGAACUUGACAUUGUUCAUAAUGUGGCAGCAGGGUCACUUGCAGUAUAAAGCGGGGUUCUUCGCAGUAUGUACUCGCGUUAUUUAAUCUUAAAAUAAAAAAAGGUAGAAAAUUUUCAUUUUACAUUUUCUGCGCACAGCAAAAAAGGUUUUUACUGCUGUAGCUGCUAUAGUUUGAUGAAUAAUAUAUGCGAUCAAAGCCUUUCCAAUAAAUAUUGAAACUGGUAUCAUGCCCGAUCGAAUAUUUUACUCAUUCAUUGCUAGAACUACUCGGGAUUCUACAGGACUUUUAAAUCCCUUGAUUUUGAAUUUGCAAUGAUCUCCCACGUUUUUAUACAUACAAUUUUAAAAUGAAGAGAAGCGCGUUUAUCCUUUGCCUAUAAAUUUCAUCGAUAGAAACUCUGCGAGCUAUGAACUAUAGAAGAUCCAAGCAGUUCUUAUACAAUUUACCAAGGCUUCAGGUCCAAAAUGUAAAAUUCGUAUUUUAUUCAAAUAGUUGUAGUUUUAAUUGUUUUCGAUGGGAAAAUGUUUUUUGGAGCCAUCAAGCUGUGGGCGUUUGUAUAGUUUCCAUUUACGCGCAGAAGCCAACGGUCUCACAGCAGGCUGCUUGCAUACAUUUCAUUUUACGAUUCUUCAUUUAUGCAUCAUCCGUUGCAGGCGUUAAAACAGUUUUCUGCAUUUUAUUACGGUCUCUUAAUCAUAACGUGGAAAAGGUAGUUCUUGCCCGAGCGAUUUCGGAAUUGUCGUUAGCGUAGCACGAUACUGGAGUUCAACUCAAUUACAAAAUCAGGUUCCGGUAGUCAUUCAGACGAUGCGUAGAAUGAACGCUCAUUCCAGGGUAACUAUUUAAGCAAUUUUUGUUAUAAGCUAUUACAGCGUCCUAUUUGGGUUUUUUUAUUGUUGACGUCUUACCGUCAUCAAGUUUCUGAUUGAACCAUGGCGGUAAAAUUGAAUUGGUAUAUCAUCACGACAACAACCAUGUUUUCAGAUUUUCCCUGGCGAUGUAAUCACAGGAAUAUCCUUGGAACCUGUCCCGAAAAUUAUUACGCCAGAAGUGCUAAAUUACUUCCGAACUAGAAAGGAUUUUCUUUUGGUAAGUUAUUUUCAGGUGACAGAUCUCUUGUUGAAUGUUUUUGUGCAUCCCUAAAAUUCCGAAAAUUGUAAGUUUGUACACCUUAAGGUAGCGCAUUUGUUGAUGUCACGACAGAUAUUUAACAUAAUAAAAUUUACGGACGAAAGGUGGAUUAGGCUUGCGUGUAUAAGCUUUUUUUUUUAUCUCUAAAAUAUGUGAACAAUAAUAUCGGAGGAUCGUGAACGAAGGUCAACCAGUUAAUACACUGAGAUAUUAAUAGCUUCGGGUGGCACUAGUAUCUGGUUUGCGGGAUUUGCGCGGCGGAUACGGCUCCGGUGACGCCGAAGAGAUAGAAUGGCUUGAAGAUGAGCUGUUCAAGAAGAUCAAAACGGCCGGGUACGGGACGAAACAACCGUCUUACUUAUCGGAUUUGAAACUCGAGGAGGCUAGUCGACGCACUGCACUUUGACGUACCAGGACAUGAUGUUGCAAGUCAAGCACCAGGAAUAUAAUAAAGAUACAAAACAAUGCAGGGAGGUUAUAGCAGACGAACCGGUCUUGACGUGAGCGAUUUUUCAGCUAUUUGAUAAACAACAUGUGCUUAAGAUGCAAAUAAGCAUACUUGUAUUUCGAACACUCUGCGGAAGUGAGAAUUCUAAAGAGCACGUGCAUUUGGGCAGUUGUGUUGCAGCUCACGGCCAAUUUCGUGUGUGUUUCACAUGGAUUUUUUAGUCUGCAAAAAGAAUUUCUGGAUCAGAACAUUUGUGAAUUAAUGAUUUACAAGUUAAGCUCGAGUACAUAGGAAGUACUUACGGUGUAG